GUGAAUCAUCAAAUUUUUGAACGCAAAUUGCACUCUCCUCUAAGAGUAUGCCUAUUUCAGGGUCAGCCUAUAAAAAAUCUACAUCGUUGCCUUUUCGCUGCGUCGUUCUUCGGCAACUGUGUCUUCUUAAAUCUUUUAGCUUUAAGCGACUUAAAAUUUUCUUUUUGGUUCCAUGAACACUUCUAAGAUUUACUUACACGUUUAAGGUAUCGAUUUUUAUUAGACUUUGCCGUUUCAUCGGAUCAC
rnacentral:misc_RNA from 1 species